CCGGGCCAGUGGGAUUUGGUUACAGAUGAAACAAUACCCGGGCCAGUGGGAUUUGGUUACAGAUGAAACAGUACCUGGGCCAGUGGGAUUUGGUUACAGAUGAUACAAUACCUGGGCCAGUGGGAUUUGGUUACAGAUGAAACAAUACCCGGGCCAGUGGGAUUUGGUUACAGAUGAAACAGUACCUGGGCCAGUGGGAUUUGGUUACAGAUGAUACAAUACCUGGGCCAGUGGGAUUUUGUUACUUAUUUUAAGAUACCAUUUUUGAAUAAUCUCCUCCAGUUGGUUUGCAUUUUAAAACUACAACCUGGUUUGUUUUUGAAAACACAAGAAAUGGGAAGAAAGCUGAAUUAAAAGAGAAAAAGUCUCCACUUACUUAAAAUGCAGCCAGAGGAUGGAUCAAGAGAUCUGUAUCAAGAGGAUGGAUAGAAAGAAAGAGAGAGAGAUAGAGAGACUAAAGAUGUCAGCCGUAGGUCUGAAGAGAAGGGUGGUAGGUGUGGGUCUGAGUGGUCUGAAGAGAAGGGUGGUGGGUGUGGGUCUGAGUGGUCUGAAGAGAAGGGUGGUAGGCGUGGGUCUGAGUGGUCUGAAGAGAAGGGUGGUGGGUGUGGGUCUGAGUGGUCUGAAGAGAAGGGUGGUAGGUGUGGGUCAGAGUGGUCUGAAGAGAAGGGUGGUGGGUGUGGGUCUGAGUGGUCUGAAGAGAAGGGUGGUAGGUGUGGAUCUGAAUGGUCUGAAGAGAAGGGUGGUAGGUGUGGGUCUGAGUGGUCUGAAGAGAAGGGUGGUAGGUGUGGGUCUGAGUGGUCUGAAGAGAAGGGUGGUAGGUGUGAAGAGUCUUUAUUUGGAGCUGCAAAGUAAAGAGAAUAGAACAAGUUUAGAAUUGUAUUUCACAGCUGUAUAUGUAGGAUACUUAUUUUAAUAAAAAAUGUAACUGAGGAUUUAAAUGUACUUAAUUUGUAAGUGGAUUACAUCACAGAAACUACAGGUGGUGUACAAAAAUGUAAAGAAUGUGAACGAUGGAUAACAAAAUGACCAUUGGAUAGAAACACAUUCACUGUGGAUGGGAGCAGUGCUGUCUGGUGGUCCCAAUUCAUCCAUUGGUUGGAAUUGUUUUCUCCACAAGAUCUAAAACUGUCUUUAGAAAGGCUUUGCAAAGACAAGUUGGACUCGCUCUAUUAGACAGGGGGGUCAAACUCAUUCCACAGAGGGCAGAGUGUCUGCUGCUUUUUGGUUUUUCAUUUCAAUCAACACCUGGACAACCUAACCAGGUGAGGGGAGUUCCUUAGUCAUUUGUGACCUAAAUUUAUCAAUCAAGGGUGGAGCAAAAACCUGCAAACACUCGGACCUCCCAUGGUAGGAGUUUGACUCAUGUGGAUUAAAGUAAUUAACCACUCAAACUAGUUUAAUCAGGUGUGUAGAUGUUGCCCAGAACAAAACCCUGCACCCACCAUGAAACACCAGACCGUAGCCUAGCUAAAGCUAGCUAGCAAGCUGAAACUGUUGAGUUGGCCUAUAGCUAAGAUUUUGAUUGAAAAACUUGACAGAUCAGUGAAAAUGCAUAGUGGUUUGAGAAAUGUCGUAAAAAGCAAUAAAUCAAUCUCCAUAACAUUAUAUAGUAACGAUUACAACACGUGGUUUAUUUUCAUACUUCAUUUACCGGGAAAGGGAAUGAUCGCAUGGGAGGAUCGGGUACGUUCCAAGUUGCCUUUUUUGUUGAAGUCAUGAUGCGCAUUUGUGUUGUUGGUCAAAUUACACAGAAUCUGCACAGCAUAAGAAUAUACAUUCAAACUACCUGGAAAAGCGUUUCUUAGAUUCAUUUAAUUUGAUAUUCUUAUAUAAAUUGAACAACACAGAAAGUAACCUCCCCUGCAGCCGAUUGUGUUGACGAGCUGGAACGCGCCCCGCAUUGCGUUGGGUUGAAGUUGCAUAUGUACAGUACUGAUCUUGGGUCAGUUUUCCGUUAUUUCUCGUACGACUUGGGGGGAGAACGCAACAUCACCCGCAAGGGUUUUGAUCGGCCAACAUGUUGUCUGACUGCAAUGAGCGCAACACGCAAACAUAUUAAGUGAAAUCAAGCAGAGAAAACAGUAUUUUCCAUUGAUAAUGUAUUUAAAUGUUCCCUGGCAAAGAUCCCAAAGAGUGCCAUUACUUGGAGUAAUCUCUGAACGGUUUCAAAAUGCCUACCUGUUGAAUAUCAUCUUGUCUGCAGGAAAUAAAUGUAUCAGAAGAGUGGAGUGGAAGAUUAAAUACAUUUCUUUCAAUGGAAAAAUCACCCAUAAAAUAAAUCUGAAGACAGAUGUAGGCUAUGUAUGUAGGCUGCUAUUACACAUACUAAUGCCUCGUUCAGGUACAAUCGGAGUUCUCGGGAAUUCCUAGUUCUGACCGGGAAGUUUCACUUCAAUGACCCUCCAAAUAGGAAUUACAAGUGGGAAAUUAGAAAAUUGUGUUGCCAAUCUUAUUGGUUUAAGAAUUGUUCAGACUUCAAAAGCACUUGAACACAAUCAUGUCGGAGUUACAACUACCCAUUUUCCCGUUUCCCACGAGAAUGUGAAGCCAGCAUAAUACUGCAUUCAAGUGCCAGUCGGUACUAGGAAACUGACAUUUCUGACUUGCUAAAUGGUUGAACGCGUUACAGUAGCCUAAGUAUAUAACAUGAGUGACAUGACCGUAAUAAUCAUAAUGGAAAGGCCUUGGAAAUGCCAUAAGUGUAAGCCAACAUAAUUCAUUAUUUUACAUUCACCUGUUUAACAUGUAAUACAUGCAUUAUGAAGACAAUUGUGUGAUUUAGGCUCCACGAAAUAUGAAAUGGGUUAUUAAGAAAAUCGUGUACUGUUGGCUAUAUGACAAAAAGGCCUUCUGAUUACAAGUGCACCAGUAUCCAAAGUAUUAAGCGAAAUCAAGCACAGAAAACAGCAUUGGCAUUAAUAAAACACAUUUUCCCACGAAUUAAGUCGCACAUAAAUGUGAGUCUUUUCUAAAAAAUUCUGUUCAGAAAGUCUAAAACAGUGCAUACAACGACACGUUUUAAAACAGGGUUAAACAAAGACAACAUUUCUGUAUAUUCAUAACGUUGAAUUAGCCAUUAAGGAGAACAAAAAUGAAAUAUAAACUAUCGCGUCUAUAUGGUUGCUGCAAAGGCUUUUGUGUAGCCUACGAAUUAAAAAGCACAAAAACGCACAAAAACGCACGAAAUUUGCUGAAAUGCAUUAUGUGCAUAUAUGCACGAAUUGAUUGUGAGACUGUGAUGUCCAAGUAUACCUCUCGUUAUGACAACAAAGCACUUCUCCAGACAUACAUCUUGUUAUUGCCUUCUCAAGGCGUGCAAUUUAACCAGCUGUCACAAUGUCCGUACAAUUAGCACGAACCCCUCGGGAUGUUGCGCUCAACAGCGCAUCCCACUUAUAAAGCAGCUGCUUCGUCUUCGUGUUCUUCUCUAUCAAAAGCUACCCGGACGCUUUUCCAUUUCAAACAAGCCCGCUGUUCCAACCUGCCAGCAGCACAAACAAUUACGUGACUUUCGUAUGGUAAUGACAACCCUUCAAAAUAAAAGCCCCAUUUCAAAACAUUGCAAUGUGGAUAACUCAUUCAAAAGAUAUUUAAUUUAAAUAAAUUAUUGGGCCGACAAAAAAAUGCAGUAAGU
rnacentral:lncRNA from 1 species